AACUCCUGUGCUCAAGUGAUCCUCCUGCCUCAGUCUCCUGAAGUGCUGGGAUUACAGGUGUAGGCCACAGCACCUAGCCGUUGAGAAAAUUUAAAUGGUGAUUUUUCCCUCAGUGGCUCUGACACAAGAAGCAGACAGGAGGAGAUGGGGUGCAGGCUCGUGGUCACAGUUUUUCUCCCUUUAAAGUGUUUUCAAUUCCUGAGGCCAGUGGGGUGAAGGAUGAGAAACAAAUCACACUUAAUCCUCUAAAUAGUGGUUAAUUCUCAUAAUUAACCAGGUGUAUUUCAAUUUGGUUUUUUCGGGGUGGGGGAUUGACAAGUAUUUCAGUUUUUAAGUGUUUUUUUAAUGAUGAAAAAAAAAUCUACGCAAAAGCAUUUAGUACAACGGACACCCAUAAACGCAGCUACUGAGAUUCAAUAAUUGUCUUAAUUGCUUUGUGUGCAUACAUAUCUGACCAUCUAAAAGUAAACUAGACACCAUAUCACCCCCAAGUACUUCAACAUGUAUUUCUGAAGAGACACACUUAACAAAAUUAAUUUUCUAUAUCUAACACACACACACACACACACACACGUUCCCACACCUUUUAGCUGCUUUUCUCCCUGCCAAUCCAUGAUCAUGUAUCAUAUGUGGUGGUUCUGUCUCUGAAAUCUUUCGAUAUUGGAAGCAGGAGCCCCUGUGUCCCUUCCCUCCCAGCUUUUCCUGAACACACUGUUGUUUGUUUGAGGUGUUUAAUUCACUCCUGCAUCCUGUGCACUUACUGCAAGCAAGAAGUUGGAUCUAAAGCUCGGUUCAUCCAAGCUGCUGCUUUCUUUCAGGGUAGCUCCUGGGCCCCUGUGCACAGCAGGGCCACGUAGUGUCUGACAUCCAUGAUCAGUGGUAACAUUAGGCUCAGGUGGUAACAACUGGAUCCUUAAUCUGGUUCCCUGUAUUCCUUAAGCAUUUCUCAGUUGUGCCCUUUUUAUGUUCUCCAGAGCUGUGUCCUGGCACCUAUUCUGCGGACAGAGAGCCAGGGCAGGUACCUGCCAUAUUCCCUCUCAGGUCCAGAAAAGAGGUCACAGCAAUGAAAAUGCAGCUGAGACCAUUUGAUCUCCCUCAACACAAAUGGAUCCUGUGAGUGUGACCUACGUCACAGCCCAUCGCCUUCCCCUCACUGGUUCCUGAAUUGAGGAGGAAGGAGAGGCGAGCUUGAAAUGAAGUCUGCAUGAGUACACAUCGCUCACGUAACAGCUAAGAUCCACAGAACGCCUUGCUUUUUCCUAAGAGGUGGCAUGACUGUGUGGCCUUUGGUUAUAAAGCUGUAUGAAACUGAGUAAGUCAAACUUAAUACAAUUCAAACUUAAAGUCAGUGGAACUUUACUCUGGAGUCUCCAAAAGGGAGGCGGGAAGGAGGGGGAGGGGACAAGGGUUGAAAAGCUACCUUCACUGUUUGGGUGAUGAGUUCAAAGGUAGCCCAAACACCACAUCAUGCAACACAGCCAUGCAGCAAACCUGCACAUGUGCCAACUGAAACUGAAAUUUAAAAAAGCAUUCAAAACAUUGACUCUUGGAAGGAAUGCAGCUAUGCACCUGUAGUCAUAAAGUAUGCAGCGGCAACCUCUGCCUUUCUUUCCCUAUAAACGACCAAAUGCACCAGAGACAAGGACCCUGGGAUCACUGCUCCCUCACUUUGUAGAAUGCAGCCGUUGUAAUGGGCCACAUCACUGUGGCACACAUAUUGACAUCUCAGCCCCUCCCUGUAGGAGCGAUGCCUUAACUUUCCCACUGGGGAACACUGACCCUGUUUGUGUGGAGCCCGUCCCCCUGGUGGCCGUCCUGAAGUUGUGUGCUCAGAUGCACUUGAGCCUUCCCCAUAUUUUCUAAGCCUCCUCUUUUAAAGUUGACAGCUGAUAAACUUGCACCAGCCAUCUCUAAGGUAGAUCAGAGUCCACUGCAGCGACCAACUCUGUGUAGACAUAGGGACCCCAGAGAAGCGCUUGUCUAUGUACAGAAAAACUGGUUUACUAAAUAAGCUGGUGUUUUGAAAUGUGACACUUUUACGUUUUUAAAGGGAAAACAGUAACUGGGGAGCGACUGAACCUCCAGCUUUCCAAACGCGUGGCUAUCCUUUCAGCCACACGUGUGGCACAGUGUGUGUGCCAUCAGCUGGAAGAGCAGGGUUUGGGGAAGGGGUUAACAGAUAAGGAGCAUGAAUGACGCUGAGCCUGUCGGGGGGUGCAUGGGCAGUCCUGAGCCGGGGUUGAUGCGGCUAGGGCUUUGUCUCCUCUCACCAGCAGGUGAGUGUUACUUGGUAUUACAGGCCGGCCUCCUGCUGGUGGGCUUGUUUUCUCCUGGCACGUGUGACUUGGGAACAUGCGGGUUUCUUCUGUGCCUUUCUCGGACUCAAAGGCUGGCUUCAUCACCACCGAAGGGCUUGUUACCUUUACGAGGUAUUUCAGACUCCCCACACCAUUCUCUAGGUUUUGGUUACUAUAUCUCCAAAACCUGCUGUUUCUUGGCAAAUCUCCAUCCACCAGGUUUCUGAUUAUGUUUGAAGGUUAUCAUCAUCAUCAUGCUGGCAUCUUUGUCUUUUGGUGACCAACUGUUCUCUUACCAGUGUCUGUGAGUGGUUUCAUCUCUUUCAAGUAUGUCCAUCAGUAACAGUGACCUCCUUGUACUAUAAGCCUAUCAAUUUGAGUGGAGACAUUUAAAUAUUUAUAUAUUUUUUGAGACAGGGUCUUACACUGUUGCCCAGUCAGGAGUACAGUGUGGCACGAUCAGAGCUCACUGCAGCUUCCACCUCUGGGAGCUGGGACUAUAGGUAUGCCACCAUGCCUGUCUAAUUUUUUUUGUGUGUUUAGAGAUGAGAUCUUGCUAUAUUGCCUAAGCUGCUCUUAAACUCCUGGCCUCAAGCAAUCCUCUGGCCUUGGCCUCCCCAAGUGCUGGGAUUACAGGUGUGAGUGACUGCACCUGCCCCCAUUUAAGUAUUUAGAAAUUAAUGUCUCAGCAUGUUUUUUCAGAGUUGCAAAGAUAUUUUCACUUACUGAUAAAGGUUUAGUAGAAUUUUAGCUUUCACAACAAGUGAUGAUAUUGAUCCCUUUGGCAUUAUAUCUGUUUAGAAUUUUAGGAAAAUAUGAUUUUAAAAAUUAAAUUUACAUAAAUUAUUUUCAGGGAAGCUGAACAAAUCUGGAUGGGAUGGGGUGAUAGAAAAUACCAUUUGCUUUAAGUUUUGAGAAGCAAUUUUUUUAUUCUUUGGAAACUAGGGUUUAAGAAAUCUCUUCUCCUUGGAGACUUUAAAACUAAAACUGGUGCUAUUUAAGACAGAAGGAAAUGGUAAGAAUUUUCCAAGGCUCAUCAUGAAGAUACACAUCUUUCCCUUGAGAAUAGAGGCUAGAGAACUGCAAGAAGGCAGUUCCCUCUGGAGUCUCCUUUCCUGGGAGAUGCAGCUCCACACGGGUGAGUUUCUGGACAAAAGGAGAAAGGAGGGUGGUAUGUGUCCUAAUAUUUAACUGUUUAUUUGGGAUCAUGUUAUGCAUCUUAAAAAGCAAUAUAAGACAAAAUGUUGGAAAGACAUUUCAAAAUAAUUACCUUGAAGUAAUUCUCAUAAUUCAUAGGUAACAUUUUUGCGUAUUUUGCCUUUUUAAAAAACUUUCUACAAUGAAAACACAUUAUUUUUACAAUAAAACAGUAACAAGUACAAAAAGUAACGUUUACAAACUUUUAAUGGAAAAUACCAAAUAGAUACAAAAAAGACAAGUGUAAAUUGGGUUGGCAAGCUAUAGCCUACAGGCCAAAUUUGGACCACCACCUGUUUUUGCACAGCCCAUAUGUUAAGGAUGAUUUUUAGAUUUUUCAAUGGUGAAAAAAUGUAAAAGGGUAGUAUUUAAUGACAUAUGAAAAACAUGUGAAAUUCAGACUUCAGUGUCCAUAGAGUUUGACUGGAACACAGCCACACAUACUGGUGUGUGGCUCCCUGGUGGCUGCUUCAUGCUACUACUGCAAAGUGGCAAGACAUGGCUGGAAAAGCCAACUAUAUUUACCAUCUGCUCCUUUACAGAAAAAGUGUUGUGCCCUGCUCUACAUCCUGAUGUGUACCUAUCCUUGCAGCCUCAAAUUCCCAGCCAAUCUUGUUUCAUCUAUACUUACUCCCAGCCCCACAGAUUCAAAGGAAAUUCCAGACGUCCUAUAAUUUCAUCUUCAUGCUGCUGACAUUUAAAAGUUGAAAACUCACCAAGAAGAUGGAAUAUAUAUGCACAAAACAUCAGAACCCCAAAAUACAUGAAACAAAAUCGAAGGAAGAAACGGACAGUUCUAUAGUAAGAGUAGGAGACUUCAAUAGCCCACUCACAGUAAUGGACAGGACAACCAGAGGAUCAGUCAUAUGACAAAACUUGAACAGUGUCGUACCAACUGGACCUGACAGACAUAUACAGAACACUCCACCAAACAACGGCAGUACACACAUUUUUCUCAAGUGCAAAUGGACCUUUCUCUAGGACAGACAGCAUGUUAGACCUCAAAAGACUGAAAAAAUAAAAAUUAUCUUUUCUGGCCACAGUGGGAUGAAACUAAAAAUCAGUAACAAGAAAAAACAAAAAGUACACAAUUAUGUGAAAAUUAAACAAUACUCUCAGCCAGUGGAUUAACAGAGAAAUUAGAAAAUAUCUUGAGAUAAAUGAAAAUUUAAACCUAUCAUACAAAAAGAUACAGUGAAAGCAAUGGUAGGGAAAUUUAUAACUGUACAUACUUAAAAAAUUAAGAUCUCAAGUCAACCCUAAAUUUACAUCUGAAAUAACUAGAAAAAAAAGAGCUAACAACCCAAAACCAGCAGAAUGGAGGAAAUUAGGGCAGAGACAAAAUAGACAACAGCAAAGCAAGAGAGAAAAAUAAAUGAAACCAAGAAUUUGCUGGGUCAACCCAAACUGACAAACUUCUUGCUAGUGUGACUAAGAAAAAUAAAACCAGAAGGAGGGGACGUUACAACUGAUUUUACAGAAAUAAAAGGUAUUAAGGGUACUAUGAGCAAUUGUGUAUCAAUGAAUUGCAUAACCUAGAUGAAUUGGACAAAUUAUUCGAAACACACAACCUAUCAAGAUUGAAUCAUGAAGAAAUGGAAAAUCUGAAGAGACCUGUGGUAGUCAAGAAACUGAAUUAGUAAUGAAAAACCUCCCAACAAAGAAAACCCCAGGGCCAUAUGGCUUCACUGUAGAAUUCUACCAAACAUUUGAAGAAUUAUAUCAAUUCUCCUCAAACACUUC